rnacentral:rRNA from 1 species
GGGCUAGCGUUGUUCGGAAUUACUGGGCGUAAAGCGCACGUAGGCGGUCUUUCAAGUCGGACGUGAAAGCCCCGGGCUUAACCCGGGAAUUGCGUUUGAUACUGUUGGGCUUGAGACCGGGAGAGGAUAGCGGAAUUCCCAGUGUAGAGGUGAAAUUCGUAGAUAUUGGGAAGAACACCAGUGGCGAAGGCGGCUAUCUGGACCGGUACUGACGCUGAGGUGCGAAAGCGUGGGGAGCAAACAGG